rnacentral:miRNA from 1 species
UCAUAAAGUAGAGAUGACUCUGUCA